UUCAGGGGAAAUAAAUGCAAUGAUUAUCAAUAUCAAUAAACAUUUAGAGAGAAAUUCCACGUCAGUGAUUAUUGAACAUGUUAAUUUCUCUGGUGGUAUUGUUCUUAUCUGUCAUGUAUCCAGGAAAAGCAAAGUUCUGCAAUGAUACUCUAAAGAGAUGUUGUGCAAAUUACUUAUUGGUGGAUGGUGCGUGUCGGCCCUGCAUUGGAUCAUGGGGGAUAAACUGUACCAAGCCCUGCAAAGAGAACUUCUACGGAUAUGGUUGUAGUUCGACAUGUGUUUGUGGGGAUGACCAGAUCUGUCACAGUAAAGUAGGGUGCAUCAAUAUAUAUGGUACGUAUCUCAAUUGCUAUUUAAUGUUUGAUUUACAAAAAAUA